ACAAACGCACAAACGCCUACACACAUGCAGACUUGCGCACACACACACAAUCACACCCCCCUCCGGCCCCCGUAACCCAGUACGAUUUCCUGCAAAUUCCAAAGUCAGAUCCCGGCUGGAACAUUUCAGCCCGCCUGCCACGUCAGUUUGCCUCCACCAUCCUACCUCUCCCGUUCUUUCUUUCUCUGCCUCUUCGCACAAGGCAACCGACUUAAAAUGUACCGAUUCCAUUUUGGUGCCCGGCCACUCCGAGACCAAAGGACCGCAGCUCAUCUUAAGCAGUAGUUUGUAGCUGUCUUUUUAUGACGCAGAAGAAUGGAUAUGACUGAGGCCUUACGAAGAAGAUCGAGCGGCGAGAUGGUGACCUGCAGCUGCAAUGACCUCAGGGUCCUUCCCCCCAUCAGCCACCAGAGUCCUAACCCCCCCGCCUGCCCAGUGUUCAGACUACCUGUUCAUCAGGCUACAGCUGAACAGUAGUCUGCACAUUGGUUAGGCUGGGCUGGGACACACACGCCUCCAACCACAGAGGGUGAUCGUCACUCGGGGAUAGUUUAUCUUUACAGUGCUAAAUAUGGUAUCUUAAUAUCUAUGCAUCCAUGUGGAGCUGCGUUUUUCUAGUUAGCCAUUUGUCUCACCUCAUCGUCUUUGUACCAGGAAAGGGACUCAGCGGUCAGGAUAAACCAGUACUCCUUGGAGCCUCCUUUCAUGAUGCUUAUGUUGAUGGUUAGCCAGCCUUUCCUGAUAACCUGCACAGCGAGAAGAAGAAAGAGAAGGGUGGUAGGGAGAGUGGGGGCACCAGGGGGAUGGAGGAAAACAGCUUUAUCAAUCAGGUUUAUGCAUCGGUGACAUAAUACAGUGAUGUGACUAACACUAAUAAAAUCUUACCUCCUUACCUGCAAGGUCACUGAAUUUUGAUAUUUUUUUUAUCCUAAUAUCAAUCAUGGUUUGUUUUGUACUACAAUGCAAAUAAUGAAAUCGAAUGAGUUAACAUGGCGUGACUGUAACAUGCCGCUAUUAAUAUGGUUAAAUGUUUCAAAAAGGAUCAGAUUGUUUAGUUGAAAACAGUGAAGAGGGAUGUAGUACUUGUGGAAUUCCAUUCAACAGAAAAGGAAUAUUUAAACCAAUAAACAGGUCCAGAUGGUGUCCAGGCGAGGCUAGCCCAAACACACAGUCAAACAAAGGUCGGCGGCGGUAUGUUAGUGUCAAUGGGUCAGUAAAAAUCUAGUUUAAAAUGAUCAGGUUUAGUGGGUUAACUGGACUCAAACAGUGAGCUGAAUUCCUGGAUGAGUAAAAUAUGGGGUGAAGAGACGGUUAAAGACGGGUGUUAAUCAGAAGAAAGGAUUAAAUUCAGAAGCCAGCAUUCACAUAGUUAGUAGGGUCAAUGCAAUGACAGAAAUGAUAACAGCAAAGUCAAAAUUUGAAGAGGACAGAUGGAGAGGGACAAAAUACAUCACUGAGACUGAGAGGCCGGGUUAAGUGAAUCACUUCAAGGAAAAUAUGACAUGUAUUUUAGAGAAGCCCUCUUCACAACUGUCUCUCAAUUUUUCCAAAUGGACUCCCGUGCAUUUCGAGUACAAAUGGGGAAACUAUCUGUGUAACAGUGUUCUCGUGUAAAGUAAAGCUAAGUGGAAAUGUCACUUUCAAAGGCUGCUUUAGACCUUUCCCUCCUGAACUCCCUCUCCCUCCAGCAGAGCUGAACUGAGUUAUUGAGGGAAAAAAAGGCUCAUAAGUUAAAAAGCGCCAACACAAACAUGGGAAAGGAGGCAAGAGCACAGGAGCUAAACUGGUAGUUUGCCUUGGCGAGGACAUUACUUAAACUUCUCAGAUAACAAGGAGUUUUAAAUCCCACUGUCAAGCCAGUCAGAAAUGUUAGUACCAAGUUGACAUUAACAGUGUCAGACAUUCUUUUAAUGGGAUGCUUUUUUGUUUCAGAUAGACAACUGUAAUACAAUAUUCAACCCUGUAAAUCUACUUGUAAAUCUACUUGUCAUGUUAAUUGGUUUAUUCAAAGAUGUGAAAUUACAUCUGAGAUAAAGUAAAAGGAAACAGCCCUAUUUGGAUUUGUCUUGAUAAUUGAUGAUGGCGAUAGAGAAUUUUGAUCAAAUCAUUGAAAUACAUCCCAAAGCCAUGACACCAUAUAAAUUGUAAUUUUUUUGAUCAGAUCUGAAUACAGAAAUUAGAGACAAGGAGACAAGUGAUUUUUUUUAAAUUUCGUAUUAACAUGCAUUGAAUCCAAAAACUAAAAACACUAGAAAUCGGAGAUAUCGGAAAGAAUCCUAGUUAUAUGAUUGUUGAUUUUAGUUGUGUGUUGUGUUCUCGCAACCCACUCCCUCCCCGUUUUGUUCCCAGUGAUGUUUAGGAUGAUUCUCCUAAGGCAAACUAUAGCGUCACAAUGCAUGAGGCAGCAGCAGAGGUAUAAUACCAGAGACAAGUCAGAACUGAAGCCGCCGAUGGUCGAUGGUGGAAGAUUUGUCUCUCUGUGGUUCUCUUAGAAAAAACAGGAAUGCUACCAAAGAUAUAUUUUGGGUGAAAUUCACAAUGUUGUUUAAAAUAUUGUUGUAAAUUGUUAGUAGCAGUGUAAAAUAAGAGACAAUUA